rnacentral:rRNA from 1 species
UCCGGUUGAUCCUGGCAGAGGCCACUGCUAUCGGGGUUCGAUUAAGCCAUGCGAGUCGAGAGGUGCAAGACCUCGGCGCACUGCUCAGUAACACGUGGACAACCUACCCUGAGGAGGGGGAUAACCCCGGGAAACUGGGGAUAAUACCCCAUAGGCCAGGGAUGCUGGAAUGCCUCCUGGCUCAAAGGUCCGCCGCCUCAGGAUGGGUCUGCGGCCGAUUAGGUUGUUGUUGGGGUAACGGCCCAACAAGCCUUUGAUCGGUACGGGUUGUGAGAGCAAGAGCCCGGAGAUGGAUUCUGAGACACGAAUCCAGGCCCUACGGGGCGCAGCAGGCGCGAAAACUUUACAAUGCGAGAAAUCGUGAUAAGGGAACCCCGAGUGCCCGUAAAUUCGGGCUGUCCGCCAGUGUAAAUAGCUGGUGAAGAAAGGGCCGGGCAAGACCGGUGCCAGCCGCCGCGGUAAUACCGGCGGCUCGAGUGGUGGCCACUAUUACUGGCUUAAAGCGUCCGUAGCUUGAUUGUAAGUCUCUUGGGAAAUCCACCGGCUCAACCGAUGGGCGUUCAGGAGAAACUGGCAAUCUAGGGACCGGAGAGGUGAGAGGUACUCCAGGGGUAGGAGUGAAAUCUUGUAAUCCUUGGGGGACCACCUGUGGCGAAGGCGUCUCACUAGAACGGCUCCGACAGUGAGGGACGAAAGCUGGGGGAGCAAACCGGAUUAGAUACCCGGGUAGUCCCAGCCGUAAACGAUGCGCGUUAGGUGUAUCGGUGACCACGAGUCAUCGAGGUGCCGAAGGGAAACCGUGAAACGUGCCGCCUGGGAAGUACGGUCGCAAGGCUGAAACUUAAAGGAAUUGGCGGGGGAGCACCACAACAGGUGGAGCCUGCGGUUUAAUUGGACUCAACGCCGGGCAGCUCACCGGAUAAGACAGCUGAAUGAUAGCCGGGCUGAAGACUCUGCUUGACUAGCUGAGAGGAGGUGCAUGGCCGUCGUCAGUUCGUACUGUGAAGCAUCCUGUUAAGUCAGGCAACGAGCGAGACCCA